rnacentral:rRNA from 1 species
UACGUAGGGGGCUAGCGUUGCUCGGAAUCACUGGGCGUAAAGCGCACGUAGGCGGAUUGUUAAGUCAGGGGUGAAAUCCCGGAGCUCAACUCCGGAACUGCCUUUGAUACUGGCGAUCUUGAGUCCGGGAGAGGUGAGUGGAACUGCGAGUGUAGAGGUGAAAUUCGUAGAUAUUCGCAAGAACACCAGUGGCGAAGGCGGCUCACUGGCCCGGUACUGACGCUGAGGUGCGAAAGCGUGGGGAGCAAACAGG